AUGAAUUGCAACUAACACGUCUUCCAAACCUUUUCAGUAACCUGGCACAUGCUGUGUCCAAUGGACCAUGGAAGUCAUUUUACUUGGCUGACGAGGGCACAUCUCCCCAGCAUCAGAGCAACAGCUGUGGGGUGUUUAUGCUGAUGUAUGCAAUGUAUUCUACCCUCCAAAAGCCAUAUGAUUUCAUUGAGGUGGACAUGCUCUCUAUCAGGAGGUGGUGGUGUGGGCAACUGCUGGAGACCUUUACGCUUGAAAGCCCUGCAAGACUAGCUGACACACCCAUCUCACCCUCUCCAUCUCCCCAUAUCAGCC